AUCCUCCUCUCCACUCCAUUUUGUUUCUCUCUCCCUCUAGAUGAAGGGGGACUCUAUACCAAGCUGCUUGUUGCCUACCCUUCCACGCUUACGCUCCUGGCAUUCUCCGGAAGCCUCUAAGACCACUGCUUCGGCCUUCAAAGGGAUGGUGGUGGUGGUGACCUACUCGACGUCACACAACCUUUCUCCUCAUCGGCUGACGACUGAUGGCAACCGAGAUCCAGUCCAUAGACCUAGAUUAAUCUCCCCCAUCCUGGUUGCUCGACCGAGUUGCUCAGAUCCAUCGACGAAGGGAGCGACUACAUCACCGCCACUGUCACUUAUCCCUAUCCACAGACGCUUCGUCUCCCAAGCAGUGUAGGAAGGGGAUAUGUCCAUCCGCACCGGGAUCUCUCGUACCCUGUUCGUCUCCCUUCAAUCUGUAACUCUUGAGGAUUACAACACCAACCAGACGUUUGAGGACUGGUGGAGGAAGGCCAACAAGAGUACAAUGAAGGAUAAGAGAAAAUGGGUUAACUAUGUCAUCAUUUUGGGGGAUUGGUGCCUCUAGAUGCAUAGAAACAGAAUGUUCCUUGAUGGGAUUAGUCCAUCCAUUCAGAGAUUGCAGCAGUAUUUCAGUGAUGAGUUCUCCUGUUGGCUCAUGGCGGGCGCCAGGAGUUUGGGUUAGCUUGGUUUCCCUAGUUCCAUGAGGAUUAUCGGAUCCAUUCCUUUUGAUCCUUUGUAACCUUUUUUUGUUUCUGUUUUCUUGCUUGGCUUUUGAUUAUUUUCUGAUGUUGUCUUGGUUGUAAGCCCUAUUUUUUCGCUCUCUAAUAUAAAGAUGUGUAGCUCUC